rnacentral:rRNA from 1 species
UUUAUGGAGAGUUUGAUCCUGGCUCAGGAUGAACGCUGGCGGCGUGCCUAAUACAUGCAAGUCGAGCGAACGGACGAGAAGCUUGCUUCUCUGAUGUUAGCGGCGGACGGGUGAGUAACACGUGGAUAACCUACCUAUAAGACUGGGAUAACUUCGGGAAACCGGAGCUAAUACCGGAUAAUAUUUUGAACCGCAUGGUUCAAAAGUGAAAAGACGGUCUUGCUGUCACUUAUAGAUGGAUCCGCGCUGCAUUAGCUAGUUGGUAAGGUAACGGCUUACCAAGGCAACGAUGCAUAGCCGACCUGAGAGGGUGAUCGGCCACACUGGAACUGAGACACGGUCCAGACUCCUACGGGAGGCAGCAGUAGGGAAUCUUCCGCAAUGGGCGAAAGCCUGACGGAGCAACGCCGCGUGAGUGAUGAAGGUCUUCGGAUCGUAAAACUCUGUUAUUAGGGGAAGAACAUAUGUGUAAGUAACUGUGCACAUCUUGACGGUACCUAAUCAGAAAGCCACGGCUAACUACGUGCCAGCAGCCGCGGUAAUACGUAGGUGGCAAGCGUUAUCCGGAAUUAUUGGGCGUAAAGCGCGCGUAGGCGGUUUUUUAAGUCUGAUGUGAAAGCCCACGGCUCAACCGUGGAGGGUCAUUGGAAACUGGAAAACUUGAGUGCAGAAGAGGAAAGUGGAAUUCCAUGUGUAGCGGUGAAAUGCGCAGAGAUAUGGAGGAACACCAGUGGCGAAGGCGACUUUCUGGUCUGUAACUGACGCUGAUGUGCGAAAGCGUGGGGGAUCAAACAGGAUUAGAUACCCUGGUAGUCCACGCCGUAAACGAUGAGUGCUAAGUGUUAGGGGGUUUCCGCCCCUUAGUGCUGCAGCUAACGCAUUAAGCACUCCGCCUGGGGAGUACGACCGCAAGGUUGAAACUCAAAGGAAUUGACGGGGGACCCGCACAAGCGGUGGAGCAUGUGGUUUAAUUCGAAGCAACGCGAAGAACCUUACCAAAUCUUGACAUCCUUUGACAACUCUAGAGAUAGAGCCUUCCUCUUCGGGGGGACAAAGUGACAGGUGGUGCAUGGUUGUCGUCAGCUCGUGUCGUGAGAUGUUGGGUUAAGUCCCGCAACGAGCGCAACCCUUAAGCUUAGUUGCCAUCAUUAAGUUGGGCACUCUAAGUUGACUGCCGGUGACAAACCGGAGGAAGGUGGGGAUGACGUCAAAUCAUCAUGCCCCUUAUGAUUUGGGCUACACACGUGCUACAAUGGACAAUACAAAGGGCAGCGAAACCGCGAGGUCAAGCAAAUCCCAUAAAGUUGUUCUCAGUUCGGAUUGUAGUCUGCAACUCGACUACAUGAAGCUGGAAUCGCUAGUAAUCGUAGAUCAGCAUGCUACGGUGAAUACGUUCCCGGGUCUUGUACACACCGCCCGUCACACCACGAGAGUUUGUAACACCCGAAGCCGGUGGAGUAACCUUUUAGGAGCUAGCCGUCGAAGGUGGGACAAAUGAUUGGGGGUGAAGUCGUAACAAGGUAGCCGUAUCGGAAGGUGCGGCUGGAUCACCUCCUUUCU